rnacentral:rRNA from 1 species
CCUACGGGAGGCAGCAGUGGGGAAUAUUGCACAAUGGGGGAAACCCUGAUGCAGCGACGCCGCGUGAGUGAAGAAGUAUUUCGGUACGUAAAGCUCUAUCAGCAGGGAAGAAAAAAAGUCCUUUGGACUUUGGACGGUACCUGACUAAGAAGCCCCGGCUCACUACGUGCCAGCAGCCGCGGUAAUACGUAGGGGGCAAGCGUUAUCCGGUUUUACUGGGUGUAAAGGGAGCGUAGGCGGCAGCGCAAGUCUGGAGUGAAAUGCCGGGGCCCAACCCCGGAACUGCUUUGGAACCUGGGCAGCUGGAGUGCAGGAGAGGUAAGCGGAAUUCCUAGUGUAGCGGUGAAAUGCGUAGAUAUUAGGAGGAACACCAGUGGCGAAGGCGGCUUACUGGACUGUAACUGACGUUGAGGCUCGAAAGCGUGGGGAGCAAACAGGAUUAGAUACCCGAGUAGUC